rnacentral:lncRNA from 1 species
AAAAUCUAUGUUAUUGCCAGGUUUCUAAUGCUGUUUCUUUUCAGAGCAGCAUUAUAAUAAAUUAAAUAUUUCUUUUUUACUGUGAUUUCCCCUCCCCCUGCCCCUGCGUCUUAUAUAGCUGCCUUCCAGAUUUUGCUCUGUAACUGUUUCUUAUACCUAGGUAUAUAUUCUUAAAACAUGAUCUUUCUUCAUUUCCCUUUAAGGAUUCUCUUUACUGCCAUUUCAAGCAGAAAAAUAUUAUUCUAGCUCUCAGUGACUUUGUGCUAGCAAGCCAUCUGUCCCCAGCGUGCAAGUAUCAGGCAGCUAAGAGUAAUUUUUUUCAGGAUCAGGAUGACACACCUAACUGAGGGACAGUUGCCUAAUCACAGGUAUCAGGCAGCUGAGAGGAGAGUAAUUUUUCUCAGGUUCACACACCUAACUGAGGGACAGUUGCCUAAUGACAGGCAGCUGGAAGAAGCGGGGUCAGGGAGAAUGAAAGGGCAGGACUGGAAAGGCAUGGGUUUGUCACCUCUCUGAAGAAGAGGAUGCAAGACAAGACAACACUGGAAGCUGUCUACCCUCACCUUGUUUGUUUGCUUGCAACAGGAGUCAGACACCAGAGACUCUAGCCACAUGCUUGGAUAAGGCUGGUCACUGCCCCAGGCCUGGAGAAGCAAAUGACAGGCAUGCCAUGGGACAGGUAGAGGUGAGCUCCAGAGUCUGACUUCUUUUGUUCAUUUAUACAAGCCUUCCUUGGACCUAAGCUCUCCUUUCUGUUGUCCAGAACCUGGACUCCGAGGAACUCCAGUGAAUGUAACUGGAUCCCCAAAUUGCCAAGUGAUACCCAAGGGUUCAGUGAUUGGGUUAGGGGAGGCAGGGGGAAGUGACACUAUACCACUAAUAGAAACUGUCCUGAGCCAAGAAGCUGAGCUGGAGUCACUGAAUUUAUUUCAAGCUACCCUGGACCUGCUGUUGCUACAGGAGGAGGUGCCAAUGAGGUGCGUAAUAGCUGUGUUCAUAAUCUGGACCUCAGAAAGAUGGAAAGAAUGUAUGCUGCUGCUGUUGUAAAAGAAAACUGAAGCAGUCAGUUAUCCAGCCCCAGAUUCUAGAAUGCUGAAUUCUCAAAUGCUUGGGGUCUCUGUGCAGUUAGUGCAUACAAUGGAGUUAUGUAGGAAGUUAACACUACAGUAGGCCUAUUAAAUCAGUGGAAAUUUAGUAAGUCAGCUCCCUCAUAAAUUAUAUUGAAACAGAUGGGAUUACUCUUGCUAUAACUUACUUUUGCAUAGUAAGUCACAACUAGAGAAGACUCUCUUCAAUCAGUGGAACUUACAAAUCCCCACUGAUUCAAUGGCUUAGUCCAAGUUAUAACACUAAGCAACAGGAUUUCA